rnacentral:rRNA from 1 species
AGCGAACGCUGGCGGCAGGCUUAACACAUGCAAGUCGAACGGGCACUUCGGUGUCAGUGGCAGACGGGUGAGUAACGCGUGGGAACAUACCUCUUGGUUCGGAACAACACAGGGAAACUUGUGCUAAUACCGGAUAAGCCCUUACGGGGAAGAUUAUCGCCGAGAGAUUGGCCCGCCGUCUGAUUAGCUAGUUGGUGUGGUAAAAGACGCACCAAGGCGACGAUCAGUAGCUGGC